UACGGAGGAUGCAAGCGUUAUCCGGAAUGAUUGGGCGUAAAGCGUCCGCAGGUGGCUGUGUAAGUCUGCUGUUAAAGAGUCUAGCUCAACUAGAUAAGAGCAGUGGAAACUACAAGGCUAGAGUACGUUCGGGGCAGAGGGAAUUCCUGGUGUAGCGGUGAAAUGCGUAGAGAUCAGGAAGAACACCAGUGGCGAAGGCGCUCUGCUAGGCCGUAACUGACACUGAGGGACGAAAGCUAGGGGAGCGAAUGGG
rnacentral:rRNA from 1 species